UCUCUUUCCUAGAUUUUCUAAUCCGAGGGCUGUCUCCCUUUGUGAUUUCUUUAUUGUUUCUAUUUCCAUUUUUAUAUCUUGGAUGGUUUUGUUGCAUUUUUUUAAAAUCACAAACACUUCAGAACUGUAAAGAUUUUGGGGCGAUUUUGACACAUUUAUUUAAAAUGCUUUUUUUGUUGUUGUUGUUGAUGUUGUUCUCUUUCAUGAAUGAAGAUGUCAAGUUUUAUUUCCCCUGGGUUGAAAUUUCUUCAGCCUUUAGCAGAAUUGCAUAACCAGAUGAGUUCCUAGAUCAACAGCACAUUUAUAUUACAAUUAACAUAAUUACUCACAGGAAAACAGUGAACAGAAUGGUGUUUCAUAUUACAUAUGUUUCUAACCAUUUCUCAUUCUGUGCGUUAGGUGUUCUCUAGGACAUAAACCAGUUUGCAAGAAUUUGUAAAUUUGAUUUUGUAGUAGUGCCCUCUUCCUUUCUUUAAAAAUAACCCGUUAUCAUUGCAAAUCACAGCGUUUGUAAUUUUGUUUCUAUUUUUGUCGAUGAAUGAAUUCAAAUUAGUUUAUGUGUUUGCAGAAUCCAGAACAUUAGGUUCCCACAAAGGUCCCUGUUACUUUGUGCUCUAAUACCAUGUGGUCCCAUAUAAAGGGUGACUCAUCUCAUUAGUGCCUUGGGCAUGCGGAUGAUGAAACCUUCACCUGGUGUCCGCUGGGGCAACAGGAGACUCUUUCCUGAGCUGUCUCUCCAGUCCCAAAUACAGUUCUCUUUCGCUUUAAUUUUCUUUAGGACCCUGUCACCAGUCCCUUCAUGUAUGGUCUGUUUCAUCUUCCAAGCCGCCAUUUUUCGAAGUGUGGCCAGCAUUCAAGCAGCAUCAGCGCCAUCUGUGGGCUGGACAGAAAUGCUCAUGCUCUGGUCUCAGCCUCGAUUCCACCCAAGUCCCAUGGUCAAAUCCAACCAUAGCGCAUAG
rnacentral:lncRNA from 1 species